GAAUUUAGCCUUUUUUAUAAAAAACAAUUUUCUUUCAGAAAAUUUACCAAGCAGAUUAUGUGCGUUAAAAUAAAAUGAGUGUAGGGCAUAAGAAAAGCACACAAGGAUUUUUAUACUGGUUCGAUUCAACAGAAUCUACGUCCAGUCGUUAAUCACUACAAAUAGUGAUUAACAGUUCCACUAAAAAAGGAUUUAACAGAUUACAAUAAAAGGUACAGAAAUAGAAUGAAGGAAACCACUCUACCAACUUGAAGAGAACCUGCACCGGCAAUCGACAAACGAUUCACGUGCUUCUCCUUUCACAAGACCAGGUAGAGAGCCUUGCCAACUUGAAGAGAGUCCACUUCGACUAUCGGCACACAAUACGUAAGCCUCUCCUUUCACAAGACCAGGCAAGGGAACAAAGUAAACAAAAGCUCUCAAGAACGUUCCUCUGACUACUCAGUGUUCUAGCUUUCUCAGUUUACACAAAAGUUAAGUUCUGAAGCUUUCAAAAAUCUCUUAAAU
rnacentral:lncRNA from 1 species